GGAGGGGAGAAGGGAGGGGGAGGGAGGGGGUUAGGGAGCAGCAUCCCCAGCGGAGCUGCCGCCCGGGAGGAAGGGGAAUCGCUUCUGGAGGAAAGGCUGGAGGGUCCGCAGCGCCGAUCACGCCAGCUGUGCCCGGGAGGUGGGGCAGAGGCUUGCCCGGGACCGUCCCACUCCAGCGGCUGCGUGCGGGGAGGAGGCGUGAGAGGAGCCCUCAAGGGCAGGCUGGCGCAAGGCACCCCGGCGCCAGGGCUGGAGAGGCCAGCCCCAGGCGGCGGUGCCGGUCCUCUUCCCAGACCGGAUCGGAGCGAUACUCCAGCCCCAGAGCACGCCCCGGGCACUCACAGGGCUCCGCUGGGUUUCAUCGCGGGGACCAACUUCUCUUAAAAAAUGAAUUGUGCCUAGCUAAAGGACUCAAACCGGGCGCUUUGCGGCCUCGGCCCUCAGCCGCUCCCCGCGGAAAGAGCCAGGCUGAAGUCAGGUGGCUGGAGACAGCCGAUGCUCGCGAAGAAGAUCUGGAAGUCCAGCCCGACUAUGAAGGAGACCGUGUCAGACGUUAGCCGGCAUGGUGAUGAUGCUCAUCGCAGAUAUUCAUGAAUGAGGCUUCACAGUGUUCCAGGUUUCUGGAUACAGGCAACCCUGGGGAUUGGGGUGUUGCAGGGAAUGGGACCAUGGAGAGCCGACAGAAGAUGAAUACCAACCCAGCUGCUCUUAGGCUUCCCUAGGAAGCAGGAUGACUGCAAGAAGAGGAAUCCCAGCUAGGCAAGAGACAGCAGUAAAUAUAAUGCCUCUAAACUGAUUCUGCUGGGCCAAACUGCAAUCAAAAUAUUAUUUCCUAUUCUCCAGGAACGUUCAGACAUGCUCGGCUCGGAGAGAGAAUAUUUCUCACAGGAGCGAGUUUUUGAUUUUUUGCAUUGUUGGCUCAGAACCAGAAUAUGAUCUAGGCUUCUGUAAUGCCCAUUGAGCCUGGCAAACUGAACAAACAUUGAUGCACCAACGAAGAAAACAGCUAGCAAGAACGAAGACACAAGUUCAGAAAUUAACAUUUUUUGACAGAUCCAUUCAGCAAACGACAGGCUGAUCAGUCAAAGGCGGUGAUCUCUAAACUUCCCUUCAACCACAGCUGCCACGUCACAGCACAAGAAGCAGGCACACAACACAAGAGGUACAACAGUCAGAGCAGACAUGAUGCGGACACCAGGAUCCCAAACUGCUGGUGUUAUAUAUGUCAUUUUUUAGAAACAUUCCAGUGGUACAGUUGAAAAUGAGGCCUAUUUAAGCAAAACAUUUCCAUUUCAAAUAGGAUGUACAGUUUAUGGGAUUAGAAGGAACACGCUUCACAAUCAACCUGAGCAUUCUGGGGAGGGCUUGAGAAACUAUUUUUGUACCACCGCACCCAAACGUAAUGGGUUUUGCACAGCACGACGAUCGCACUACUUUCUGCAGUCGUGGUUCUCAAACUUAUUUGAUCACGCCCCCCCCGGUGUUGUGUCUGUAAUAGUUUCUGCCACCAAUGGCAGCGCAGAAGUAAGGGUGACGUGGUAUGGCAUUAUCACCCUUACUUCUCUGCUGCUGCUGCUGGCUCUGCCUUCAGAGCUUGGCACCCGGCCGGCAGCCACCGCGCUCCCCCGGCCCGGCGCUGAAGGCGGUGCCAUUCCAUACCGCGUUUACUUCUCUGCUGCAGUUGGCAGUGGUGCUGUCUUCAGAGCCGGGUGUCUGGCCUGCAGCUGCUGCUCUCCGGAUGCCCAGCUCUGAAUGCACGCAGUAAGUUUUUUCCCCUCUAAAGCUUCUCGCACACCCACAGAAUAUAUUCCACACACCCCCCCUCCAGUUUGAGACCCCCAGUUCUAUAGGACUGUCUCAGGACUUCAGGGUAGGCUAGCAAGACGGUCGUUAGGGAUAUAUUCCAAGCUUAACUGACUGAUUUCUCACACAAAAAUGUGUGUGUGUAUAUACACACUUAAGGUUCUCCAGCCACCUGCUGCAGAAGUGGAGACCAACUGCUCUAUUUCUUUUCAUGGCUCUCUCUUGGAGGAAGUGCUUUCAUUCUUAAAAAACUACCCUUUACUUUGGUUGCUUCAUACCAUGGGGCCUUGCCGCUGUGAGCUUUACUGGCCCCAAAGACUGCCUCUGACUCACAUGAACCUUCAGAAAUAUUCAACGAGCUAUGUGCAUAAGUCUUUAUUUUAAAGCUACUCAUCUAUUUGCCAUUAGGUUUUCAACUCCAUGCUUUACUUCAGGAAUUAUGGAUGAAACUUUUGCUUGCUGUCCCCAUCGUGUAAUAACAGUUCAGACUAUUGCUCCACAACAUCUUUAAAUUAAAAUAUUAAAUCCACAAGAAGGUGAGGAAAUUAUACCCAUCUCCAACAAAACAGUUUUCUUUGGUAUUCUUGUAAAUCAGUUCACUAAACAUUGAUUUAGAAAGAGACACAAAGAAGAGAGGAGUGUUGUGUGUCUGCCUGUCGGUAGAUGGACUAAUUAUUUCCUGUCCUCAUAGCAGUAGGCUGUACAUUUGUAGUUAUAAAGCCAACUAUCUCAAUAACAUGCCAAAUGACAAAACACGUGCAUCUGUGCUGUAGAAUACUACAGUAAGCAGUGUUUAGAAACAGUUAUGUUUCAUCAGAGAAAGCCUCUUGAUCUGACAUGCAGUUUCACCCCCUUCCUGACUCAGAAAGCACCUACUAUACCAUAUGGAUCCGCUUACAUAUUUUAAUCCAUGGACAGAGGAAAAGCCAUGUGUAUAGGGUCCAUUUUCUGUGGAUUCAGCUUACUAACACAGAUGGCAUAUAAAAGCUGUGAUUGCUCACACCACUGCUUUGCAAGUGAAUCAUUACUGGCUUCAAUAUAUGCUUGCUCUGAGUCAUAUGAAACAGCAGACAGUGGCAGUAUCUAAAUCGUGCUUGUCAUAAAUAUAAAGGGAAGGGUAAACACCUUUAAAAUUCCUCUUGGCCAGAGGAAAAACCCUUUACCCUGUAAAGGGUUAAGAAGCUAGGAUAACCUUGCUGGCA